AGUUUUUCAGAUCACCCUCAGAAAAAGAACCCAUUGACUGCUUACUUCGUUUCCACUUCUCGAUUCAUUUCACCACUAUUUUUAUACCAGGAAGCGAUUGAAACCCGCUUAUCACUAAUACAGGGUGCAGUCCCUUUUAUGUGAAAGGAUUUCGUAGAGGCAGUGGUAAUCAAGAACCAAAUCAGAAACUCGACCAGGUUUAUUGAUUUCUUCCAAGGCGGAUUCGAUUGUGGGUUUUACAAAUCUCCUUAUGUAUCUAGUUAAUUGGGUAAGUUGAUUCUGAUUACGAUAAAUCAAUCUAUUAUCACUACCUUCAUUGGUUUGAAUUAAGUUUAUUGUUCUCAAUUUUAAUAGGAAUUCUUUGUAAAGAAUUCCUAAUGUACCUGAGUUCAAACUCAAGCUUCUUCUUGAACUUGUUAUCCAAGUCAUGGGUUUUCAUUUCACCAACAUUUACAACUUGGCCAAUUACAUCUGAAAUGGAUAAUAUUUACAAUGGUUAGAGAAAUGUGUUUACCACGGUUAAACAAACCUUAAACAAUUAUAUGUAUAUUUCUUUACAAUCUACAUAUGUAAAUGUAUAUACAUAGAAGUAUAAGAUGUGAAUACUAACCAAUCAAAAUAUUUUCAUUCAAUGAUGGAUCGUUGAGAAUAGUCUGAAAAUCAACCAAGUUGAGGUACAUGUCCUCAGACAAUGAGGCACAAUUAACAAUUGUGUGUGACACUAAAUUUUCCAGUACCCUUAGUCAGUGAAAAAUUCUCAAUAACUUUUUAUUGACCAGGCACAAUCAUACGCUGGAACUUAUGUAGCUGUUGUUUCUUGACAGUAGCAUAGAUCAGAUUACCCUAAACGGAAAAGCAAAAGAAAUUCACAGUAAGGAAGAGGGAAAGAAAUACAUAGUAAUUUAAAACUUUUUGUGAUUUAUUUAAAACAUAAACGUCAGGCCUACACCGAAUGAUUAUUAAGCUUUACCGAAAUAUCAGCUAGGACCAUUUCCAGGGUCUCACCAGAAUAUGUGGUAUACUGGUUUCAUAUAUGGAUGAUCUUGACUUGGAUCUUCCAAACAGUCUUGAAAGGCUUGAUCGAUGCAAGAUCAGUUAUUGGAAGAUUGGCAGCCAUUGUUAAGCUUAAGCGAGUUGUGCUGUAAAUCUUUGAUGAAAGGAUUUGCUAGAGGAGAUUCUCUCUAAGGUUCCGACAACAUCUCUGAGAGCAGUGAGAUCUACUUGCAAACGAUGGAACGCUUUAUCCAAAGAUCCGAGCUUUGCAAAGAAGCAUUGUGGUAAAGCAGCCGAGGCGAUUCUGGUGAUCAUGUUGAAUGAUUUUAGGGCUCAAUUGAUGAGCGUCAGUCUCCAUAACAACAAAGACUUGGUAGAUCCAUCUGUAAAGGAGAUAUGUAACUCAUAUGUUCAAGUCUUUCACUGCGAUGGCUUGUUGUUAUGCGUCCCUAAGGAGGACAGCACUAGCCUCCUGGUUUGGAAUGCGUAUUUGGGACAAACAAGAUGGAUCAAACCCAUAAUUAAAUACGACUUGUUUGAAAGGUACGCUCUCGGAUACGACAACAACCGUAACCACAAAAUCUUUAAUUAGGUGUUUAAAUAAUUACGAUGAUAAUGCAAAACGAAUUGUUGAGUUUGAAAUCUUCGAUCUUAAGUGUAAUAUAUGGACGGUUCUUGA